UGUAAACCAGCUUAUAUGAACAGAAUUGUCAUUUACUUUGCCAGAUUUUAAUUUAGAACAUCAUUCGUAUACAGAAUAUGAAUAGUCAUACUAAUGUCGAGCUACUUGAUAAAUUAUGAAAUGGCUGGCGAUUUCACUAUUUCUAGUGCAAUACAAAAUACGAGAGUCACCGGAACACGAGAAAUACAGUACUGAUGCACUUCAUAAAUUCAAUAAUCACAUCAGAAUAUCAGAUAUCAUUAACUUGUUAACCUCAAAAGACUAAUCUACCGGAAAGCCAACGCUGUCCACCAGACUUCUAAUUUUCGGCGUUUGUGUACCAAAAAGGCAGUCACAGAUGGUAUAUCUAAAUUUUCGGGCUCACAAAAUAUGCAUUGAGUAAAAGUAAAAUAAACGAAUCAAUAUGUUUUUAUAUGUUGCUUUAAUGCGUGGUUUAUAUAAUUGAGCGAAUCUUGGAAAUAAGUAUUUUGAUAAGCAAUGUAUAUAUUCUCAUAUCCCA